rnacentral:rRNA from 1 species
CACGUAGGCGGACUGAAAAGUCAGAGGUGAAAUCCCAGGGCUCAACCUUGGAACUGCCUUUGAAACUCUCAGUCUUGAGGUCGAGAGAGGUGAGUGGAAUUCCGAGUGUAGAGGUGAAAUUCGUAGAUAUUCGGAGGAACACCAGUGGCGAAGGCGGCUCACUGGCUCGAUACUGACGCUGAGGUGCGAAAGCGUGGGGAGCAAACA